GCAGGAAAUAUUUCCAUCCGUUCCCAACAGAGAGAGACGAGUCUGAAUCCCGCGAUCGUCCUGGACGCCGCCGCCGAGUCUGAGGAUGGCGCAAGUCCAAGGAUCACCUCCAUGGUCUGACCUCCCGCCAGAGCUCCUUGGCCUGGUGUUCCUAUGCCUCCCUACCCGUGCUGACAGAGCCUUCUUUCCUGUCGUUUGCUGCACAUGGUGCUCCGCGGCUCGGCAGUGCCGCCUGCCCACGCCAUCACCAGUGCCAUGGCUCGUGCUACCAGGCGGCAACGUCAUCAGCUUCCCUCAUGGCGAAACCUUCCAGCUGCCUGAGGGCGUGCGCUGCCACAACUCUUGUGGCGAGUGGCUUCUCUUGUCGCGGGAUGAUGGCAGCUGCUUCUUGAUGAACCCAUUCACCAAGGCCACCAUGCCGCUUCCCAGCUUGUCCUCAUACAGCUUCUACGAAGAGCCUGUCGAAGUCCCCGAAGAUUGUAUGGUCCCAGACCAUGAGAUGCAAGGCACGUGGAUGUACAACAAGGACAUAGAAGAAGUAUCCGUGCUUGCACUAGUUGUGUGCUCCACACGCCUCAUUGCUGCCAUAGUCGCUGUUGGGGCUCUUGGUACAAUUGCACUAUGCCGGCCAGGGGCUGCUGCAUGGUCAGUGAGUGCACACGAAGAGUGCAGGUGGCUCUCGCACACGGUCUUCUUUCAAGGGAAGCUCUACGCUUUUGACAACAACACUGACCCUGAGGAUCUUAUCGCCAUUGACAUUGUUGAUGAUGAUGACUGUCACGAGCCAAGGGUGUCUAGAAUUGAGCGCCUCAUUGAAGGUGCCUCCUUGCCACCCCAAAAAUAUUUUCGCUGCCAGUGCUACCUCCUUGAAUCACAUGGCACUACUAAUGGUCCACAGAAAGCUUUACUACAAAGCAGAGCUCCCGCCUGAAAAUGGCGGCAUUCUUGUGGCUGGUAGCAGCGAGUUUGAAGUGUUUGAGGCUGACUUUGAGGAGGGCUUGUGGUCUGAGGUGAGGACUUUGGGGAAUGACCGAGCGUUAUUCCUUGGGCGAGGAUGCUCGAGAGCUAUCUGUGUGCCUCCAUACGAUCUUUUAUGGGACUGUCUCUUCUUCCUAGAUGAUUACACCGACUGGAUUUGGAAGAAAACAACUACAUCCUGCGGAGUGUAUGACAUGAAAGAUGAGAAGGUCUAUUCGCCCUUGCCUAUGGCAUCUUGGAAGAGUGGAGAUGUCCUAGUAACCUGGCUUUUCUCACAAGGUGAGACAUAUAAGUUGCAAGCAGCAGGGGAGCAUCUGCAGGAAAUUGUGGAACCUGAACAAGAUGAUCCUCAGACGCUUGACUGUGGAGGGACUUGUGCUGCCGGUGCUGAUACUGCUCAGGGAAACUGCUAGGAAGGGUUGGCUAAAGAAAUCUUCACAAAUGCUCUACAACAGUACUCAGGCACGCUUGGAUACCACUAGCUAGGAGCUGCGUGAAAACAAUGCCUGGUCUGUUGUUGCCUUAUACUUGUAUCUUCAUGUCUACGGUGUCGCUUCAAACACUCCUUUCUAAUGAAAAGUGCUCUUUAUUACAUUUGGUAUGGGUGACUGCUAGCGAGUGGAGAUUAUGCCCGCUGAGGUAUGAUUUGUGCGCUUUUGAAACUCAAUAGGAGCUUCGCCGCCUGUCUAGUUUUAUAACCGUGUUGCAAAGUUUGGAAUUGAUGUGCAAUACAUUCAGCAUGUUAAUUUGGUAGUGGUUUGUAUUAUU